UCAGAGACAGUAUAAAAGAGACAACUCAUAAGGAGAGAAAGAAAGAGAGUAAUUAUGAAGCUUCUCUCAUUAGAAAAACAACAGCAUGGGCCCGUGGGAACGAUCUAACAUUCACGAGAGAGGAUAAAACGAGAAAGAUGGUGUUAAUGCACAAAGAUACUUAUGAUGGCUGUUUUGCAAGAUUACAUAGAGAAGGCAGAGCCUCUCCGCAUAAAAGAGGAUUCAACGAAGAAGUUGGCGAAGGCAGUAGACAGACUAGUGAAGAAUAACGCCUUUCCCCAGGUGUGGAAACACGAAGAUCCCAGACCCCGCUUGCCCGAGACUUUUUGCGUUCAUGGGGACGCGCGGGCGCCCUGUCGCCGCUGGGCCCGUGGUUGAGGGGCUAGGGGCGCCCGCGUGUGGCCUGGAGGGAACUUUGGCUGGGUGGUGUAU
rnacentral:lncRNA from 1 species